AUCCUUUUGUAGUUCCUAAGCAUGAUGAUUGGAUUUUACUAUGUCUUUGUGAGAUGUGUCUCCCUCAAACCCUGCUAUGACGUCAGCAUGCUACCCAUCUGAUG